GAUGAAGAACGUAGCGAAAUGCGAUAAGUAAUGUGAAUUGCAGAAUUCAGUGAAUCAUCGAAUCUUUGAACGCACCUUGCGCUCCUUGGUAUUCCGAGGAGCAUGCCUGUUUGAGUGUCAUUAAUAUAUCAACCUUCUCUUUUUUGAGUUGUUUGGAUGUGGGGGUUGCUGGCCUCUUAAAUGAUUCAGCUCCCCUGAAAUGCAUUAGCAGAACAACCUGUUCAUUAGCGUGAUAAUUAUCUAUGCUAUUGAAUGUGAGGGCAGUUCAGCUUUCUAACCGUCCUUGGACAAUUCAUCAUUAAUGUGACCUCAAAUCAGGUAGGACUACCCGCUGAACUUAAGCAUAUCAAUAAGCGGAGGA
rnacentral:misc_RNA from 1 species